CCUCCAUGCUCCACACCAUUCUUGAAGCUUCCAUGCCAUUUUCUCUUUGUCCACCAUGAAACCAAGUUUUCUUCAUUUUCCUUUCCAUGUUUUCUUUUCCUUUCUUCUCCAAACUUCUUGAGCACUAAAUUUACAUCCUUUAACCCCAAUUUCCAGCACAUCUAAACCCUAGGAGGAGAGAAAGAAAAAGAGAGAAAGGAAGAAAAAGCUUGGUUUUGGUGAUUCAAGCAAGGAACGGUAAGAAUUCUUGUUUUUGGCUUGAGUAGUCUUUGAAAAUGAGUUAAUGACUUAGAGAAAUGUCUUGUGGCUGCAAAGAUUGGCCUGAUUGGAGAAAAAUUGGUAACAUGUAAGCCAAUAAACCCAUGGGUACAUGAAGGACUCAAAGUGGAAAAGGAAAACGAUAAGCUUAACACUAUGUUUUAAAGCUUACGGUUAGUUGAAUAUUGUGAGGAAUUACGGUUGUUGA
rnacentral:lncRNA from 1 species